rnacentral:tRNA from 1 species
AGUAAAAUGGCUGAUAAAAGUGAUAAAUUGUAAAUUUAUUUAUAAGAAAUGUGGAUCUUUUUUACUA